rnacentral:rRNA from 1 species
UGGGGAAUUUUGGACAAUGGGCGAAAGCCUGAUCCAGCCAUGCCGCGUGAGUGAAGAAGGCCUUCGGGUUGUAAAGCUCUUUUAGUCGGAAAGAAAGAGUUGCAAUGAAUAAUUGUGAUUUAUGACGGUACCGACAGAAAAAGCACCGGCUAACUACGUGCCAGCAGCCGCGGUAAUACGUAGGGUGCGAGCGGUAAUCGGAAUUACUGGGCGUAAAGGGUGCGCAGGCGGUCUUACAAGUCAGAUGUGAAAGCCCCGGGCUUAACCUGGGAAUUGCGUUCGAAACUACAAGGCUAGAGUGCAGCAGAGGGGAGUGGAAUUCCAUGUGUAGCAGUGAAAUGCGUAGAGAUGUGGAAGAACACCGAUGGCGAAGGCAGCUCCCUGGGUUGACACUGACGCUCAUGCACGAAAGCGUGGGGAGCAAACA